UACAGAGGUGCCAAGCGUUAGGCGGAAUCACUGGGCUUAAAGCGUGUGUAGGCGGAAUUGUAAGUACCUUGUGAAAUCCCACGGCUCAACCGUGGAACUGCUCGGUAUACUGCUUUUCUUGAGCCACUUAGGGGCUACCGGAACAAAUGGUGGAGCGGUGAAAUGCGUAGAUAUCAUUUGGAACGCCAAUGGUGAAAACAGGUAGCUGGGAGUGUGCUGACGCUGAGACACGAAAGCCAGGGGAGCGAACGGG
rnacentral:rRNA from 1 species